rnacentral:rRNA from 1 species
UUUUUAAAUUGCUGUGGUAUUUUGACUAUACAAAGGUAUUGAAAUAAGACUUUAAUUGAGUGCUAAGAGAAUGGACUUACAAAAAAAAUCUUUCUAGAAAUUCAAAAAUCAAAGUUUUUUCUUUUGUGCAGAAACAACAAUAUUAAUUAAGGACAAGAAGACCCUAAGAAUUUUAAAAACUGUAAUUGUAAAACUAUUAAUUAUAGUUUUUUGAUUGGGGCGAUUGAUAAAUAUAAAAAACUUUAUUUAAAAAAUAAAAAAUGAACCAGUAAUACUGGUUUGAUGAACAAAAAUACUCUAGGGAUAACAGCGUAAUAAUUUUUAAUAGCUCUUAUUGACAAAAUAGUUUGCGACCUCGAUGUUGGAUUAGGAUUCUUUUUUGAUGAAGAAGUCAAAAGAAGAAGUUUGUUCAACUUUUAAAUUCCUACUUGAUCUGAGUCCA